GUUAAACUGAGUCAUGAAAAAAAAAAUGAAUUGUUUUGUAAACAAACAUUUCUUUGCUAUGUGCUGCUGCGUGUCAAUAAUUUUACUGUGAUCAAAGGGUCCCCAUUAUCAAGACAUUCAUCAGUGACUUCUACUUUUUGCUCUGUUGCCACCCUGCAAUAAUGCAAACAUUGUUUUUGUGACUAUAUUUAGAUGCUCCAUGCAUGUCUAGACAAUUUGACAGCUUUAUAAAGCUGUGUGCCACUGCUAUAAGUUAACACAGAACUUAUUUUAUAGUGGCGAGGCUGUGACCCAUAACAGUGCCUACAUAACGGAGGAGCCACCAGACCCCUUGGCUAUGCCUGCCGUAGUGCAACGUAUAAUCUGGAUGGUCGGGUCAGGUACACCUAGGAAAUGUUGUAUACAUUGGCAACGAUAACUGGGGCCUGUUCCAGUGCCAUCGCCGGGAUUCCCUGUUCUGCAAAGAACUGACAUAACUGAUGUGGGGAGCCCUGGCGCUCGGUGUAGGAGUAUCACAGGGGCUCCUUGUCGAUGCUUGAAGGACGGCAAUGCUGUUGAGAAGCCGACAUUGAGCCCCGAUAAAUUGGAAGCUGUGGGUAGUUACCGCAUUAUUGACUUGGAAACCAGUGAGGUCUGGAUGCAAGUGAAGCUACCGAGGGAGGCAUGUGUGCAUCACUUGUGCUGCUGGCCAUCCUCUGCAAAAGUGAUGGCUGGCAGUCAGUGCUUGGAUGACUUUCUGUUACUCUACGCCUUGGGCUGUGUUGACUACUUCACACUUGCUGCCAUGUCUGCAAGCUUAGGCAAAAAGACCGGCUGGAUGCUUGGCAGGAGAUAGUAUCCAACCGCAGUGUUACUGUGUUGUGUUGUACAUUACAAAGUGAUGGAGGACAGUAUUUGUGCUGUUAUUAAGAAGUAUAAAUUGUGUUCUGCCAUUGAAAUAAGGGAACUCGACACAAAGCAAAAGAUUUCGAAGUCUGACCUACAUGGGAAAGCAAAAUAUAUUGUGUUAUAGUUGUAGCUGUUAGUAGAGUCUUAAUAUGCGAUAGAAGACCUUGGUGUUUAAUAGAAAAUAUAUUUAAGUGUGUUAUCAGUGUGUUAUCAGUGUUUAAGUUACUGUUAUGUGUCAUUUGUUUGCCAGGAUGAUGUAAGCAGACAGCAAAUAAAU